rnacentral:rRNA from 1 species
UACAGAGGUGGCAAGCGUUGCUCGGUAUCACUGGGCUUAAAGGGCGCGUAGGCGGUGCGGUACGGUUUCGGUGAAAUCCCUCGGCCCAACCGAGGAACAGCCGGAGCUACGGCCGGACUAGACGGCAUCAGGGGACAGUGGAACUCCCGGUGGAGCGGUGAAAUGCGUAGAUAUCGGGAGGAACGCCGGUGGCGAAAGCGACUGUCUGGGGUGCCUGUGACGCUGAGGCGCGAAAGCCAGGGGAGCAAACGGG